rnacentral:rRNA from 1 species
GGGUGAGUAACACGUGAGCAACCUGCCCGAAAGUGAGGAAUAGCCCGGGGAAACUCGGAUUAAUACCGCAUAUGAUUCUGCAAGGCAUCUUGUGGCAAUCAAAGCUGGGGAUCGUAAGACCUGGCGCUUUCGGAUGGGCUCGCGGCCUAUCAGCUUGUUGGUAAGGUAACGGCUUACCAAGGCUACGACGGGUAACUGGUCUGAGAGGACGACCAGUCACACUGGAACUGAGACACGGUCCAGACACC